GACGGAGGAUGCAAGCGUUAUCCGGAAUGAUUGGGCGUAAAGCGUCCGCAGGUGGCAGUUCAAGUCUGCUGUCAAAGACCGGGGCUUAACUUCGGAAAGGCAGUGGUAACUGAACAGCUAGAGUAUGGUAGGGGCAGAGGGAAUUCCUGGUGUAGCGGUGAAAUGCGUAGAGAUCAGGAAGAACAUCGGUGGCGAAGGCGCUCUGCUGGACCAUAACUGACACUCAGGGACGAAAGCUAGGGGAGCGAAUGGG
rnacentral:rRNA from 1 species